ACACCCUCAAGCUCUGCUUGGUGUUGGGGCGUUGUCGCUUCCCCGCCUCCCCGGCGACAUGGCGACACCCCUCAAAGUCAUUGGCGGCCUUUCUGCCCGGCUCCCCGCGCAGCAGUUUCGCGCUUCGGGAGGCCCCUGGGUCGGCUGGCAUCCAUCAAGCUAAUCCUUUCAC
rnacentral:misc_RNA from 1 species